AAGUUCUUGAAGUCAAGCAAAGGUGGCGACAUUUUGGGGGAUGGCAUCAAGUGAAACUGCACUAAGUUCAUGAUGGACAAGGAUGGUCGUGUUGUAGGUCGCUAUGCCCCAACCAUAUCCCUUUUGAGUAUUUGAGAAGGAUAUCAAGAAGCUUUUGAGGCCUUCAUAAAUUACAUAUGCUUGCAGCCUCUGAUCUUGCUUGCACACUGCUGUAGUACAUAUGACCAUGACUAAAGUGUCAAUUGCUUAAAAGAUAAUAUGUUAAUCACAGAAAGGUUAGUCUAAUUAUAUAUCCGACCACGGGAGAUUUCAAAUAUGGAAUUAAGGAUUCUGGAGACAAGAGAAUGAAAAUUAUAAUUUAUACAUUCA